rnacentral:rRNA from 1 species
CUCCGUUUGAUCCCGCCGGACCUGACUGCUAUCGGAUUGGUACUAAGCCAUGCGAGUCGUUGUAGCAAUACAAGGCGGACGGCUCAGUAACACGUAGUCAACCUAACCUAUGGACGUGGAUAACCUCGGGAAACUGAGAAUAAACCGCGAUAGAUCAUUAUGCCUGGAAUGGCUUAUGGUUCAAACAAUUUAUUGCCGUAGGAUGGGACUGCGGCCUAUCAGCUUGUUGGUGAGGUAAUGGCCCACCAAGGCUAUAACAGGUACGGGCUCUGAGAGGAGAAGCCCGGAGAUGGGUACUGAGACACGGACCCAGGCCCUAUGGGGCGCAGCAGGCGAGAAACCUUAGCAAUGUGCGAAAGCACGACUAGGUUAAUCCGAGUGAUUUCUGUUGAAGAAAUCUUUUGUCAGUCGUAAAACCACAGACGAAUAAGGGGUGGGCAAGUCUGGUGUCAGCCGCCGCGGUAAUACCAGCACCUCGAGUGGUCAGGAGGUUUAUUGGGCCUAAAGCAUCCGUAGCCGGCCACGCAAGUCUCCGGUUAAAUCCAGCUGCUCAACAGAUGGGCUGCCGGAGAUACUACAUAGCUAGGGAGCGGGAGAGGUAGACGGUAUUCUGUGGGUAGGGGUAAAAUCCACUGAUCCAUAGAGGACCACCAGUGGCGAAGGCGGUCUACCAGAACGCGUUCGACGGUGAGGGAUGAAAGCUGGGGGAGCAAACCGGAUUAGAUACCCGGGUAGUCCCAGCUGUAAACGAUGCAAACUCGGUGAUGCAUUGGCUUAUGGCCAAUGCAGUGCCGCAGGGAAGCCGUUAAGUUUGCCGCCUGGGAAGUACGGACGCAAGUCUGAAACUUAAAGGAAUUGGCGGGGGAGCA